rnacentral:misc_RNA from 1 species
GCAAACUUGGUCAUUUAGAGGAAGUAAAAGUCGUAACAAGGUUUCCGUAGGUGAACCUGCGGAAGGAUCAUUAUUGAAUAAACUUGAUAAGUUGUAGCUGGCUCAAAAUUGAGCAUUGUGCACACUUGUCAUUUUUAUCUUUCCACCAUGUGCAUUCUGCAUAGAGUCUGAGAAUCAAAGUUUACUUUGAUGUUUUUGAGAACUGCUGCUUGCAAAAGUCAGCUUUUCUUGCUUUCAGACUCUAUGAUUUCAUUUACACCAUGUAUGUUAAAGAACGUAUCAAUGGCCUUUACAAGCCAAUAAAUUUAAUACAACUUUCAGCAACGGAUCUCUUGGCUCUCGCAUCGAUGAAGAACGCAGC